UACAGAGGUCCCAAGCGUUGUUCGGAUUCAUUGGGCGUAAAGGGUGCGUAGGUGGCGGGGUAAGUCGGAUGUGAAAUCCCGGGGCUCAACCCCGGAACUGCAUCCGAUACUGCCGUGCUAGAGGAUUGGAGAGGUAGCUGGAAUUCUUGGUGUAGCAGUGAAAUGCGUAGAGAUCAAGAGGAACACUCGUGGCGAAAGCGAGCUACUGGACAAUAUCUGACGCUGAGGCUCGAAGGCCAGGGUAGCGAAAGGG
rnacentral:rRNA from 1 species